rnacentral:lncRNA from 1 species
UCGAAGUAAAGAAGAUUCUGGUUGAUAAUGGGAGUGCAGCAAAUAUACUCUCACAGGAGGCUUUCGCCAAAAUGGGGAUCUCUUCCAAAUAGCUCAAAGCAAUAAAAACUCCUCUACAAGGAUUUGGUGGCGGAGUCAUUAUCUCCGAGGGCAUCGUCGAGCUCCUACUUACAUUAGGAAUUGGUAAUACACAAGUGACGGAGAUCACACCAUUCCAAGUGGUUAAUACCCUACAACAUCAUUCUGGGAAGACCCCUACUAAACAAGAUCCAGGCUAUUGUGUCAACUUUCCACCUGGCCAUAAAGUUCCCCACGAGUCAUGGCAUCGAAGUAGUUCGAGGAGACCAAACAGCUGCUAGACAGUGCUAUGUUACUAGCAUCCGAGGAAUGAGUGAUGACGUCAUGCAACUUGCAGACCUCGAGCUUGAGC